rnacentral:misc_RNA from 1 species
UGAUGAGAAAGAUUUGUCCGGUUCCUGGUCUUAGUACUAAUUGAUUCUAAAUGCUAAGCUCAAAGGAAAGGAAAAGAAAUAAGAAAAGAACCAAAACUCAAGAGUCUGGUAAACCUAAGUUUCCCGCCUUGACCUCCUUUGACGUGGAGCAGAAGCAUCCUCUUCCUUGUUCUCCCCCUCGUUUGCACCACUGCUUUCUGGCUCAUCAGUUUCAGAAGCUCUAGCACCUUCAGUUUCCACAACAGGUGCAGCCGCCACAGGUUUCCUUGUCCCGCGAAAGACAAUCCUGAAUAUUGCUGUCACGAUUACCACCACAAUAGAAACCAGGAUCCCAAUGGUCAAG